rnacentral:rRNA from 1 species
GUGGCGAACGGCUGAGUAACGCGUAGGCGACCUACCCCGUAGUGUGGAAUAACUGCCCGAAAGGGUAGCUAAUACCGCAUGUUGAGCCGACAUCAAUGUCGUCUCCAAAGCAGAAAUGCGCUAUGGGCGGGGCCUGCGUUCGAUUAGCUAGUUGGUGGGGUAAUGGCUCACCAAGGCGACGAUCGAUAGGUGGUCUGAGAGGACGAUCACCCAGACUGGGACUGAGACACGGCCCAGACUCCUACGGGAGGCAGCAGUCGGGAAUUUUGCGCAAUGGGGGAAACCCUGACGCAGCAAUACCGCGUGUGGGAUGAAGGCCUUCGGGUCGUAAACCACUUUUUUCGGGGACGAUAAUGACGGUACCCGAAGAAUAAGCCACGGCUAACUACGUGCCAGCAGCCGCGGUAAUACGUAGGUGGCAAGCGUUGUCCGGAUUUACUGGGCGUAAAGCGCGCGCAGGCGGUGAAUGAAGUCGAAAGUGAAAGCCCCGGGCUCAACUCGGGAACUGCUUUCGAAACCAGUUCACUUGAAGGCGGAAGAGGGAAGUGGAAUUCCGAGUGUAGUGGUGGAAUGCGUAGAUAUUCGGAAGAACACCAGAGGCGAAGGCGACUUCCUGGUCCGAUCUUGACGCUGAGGCGCGAAAGCUAGGGGAGCAAACGGGAUUAGAUACCCCGGCAGUCCUAGCUGUAAACGAUGGAUACUAGGUGUUGGAGGUUUUAACCCCUCCGGUGCCGCAGCUAACGCAUUAAAUAUCCCGCCUGGGGAGUACGGCCGCAAGGCUAAAA